rnacentral:rRNA from 2 species
GUGCCUAAUACAUGCAAGUCGAACGAACUCUGGUAUUGAUUGGUGCUUGCAUCAUGAUUUACAUUUGAGUGAGUGGCGAACUGGUGAGUAACACGUGGGAAACCUGCCCAGAAGCGGGGGAUAACACCUGGAAACAGAUGCUAAUACCGCAUAACAACUUGGACCGCAUGGUCCGAGUUUGAAAGAUGGCUUCGGCUAUCACUUUUGGAUGGUCCCGCGGCGUAUUAGCUAGAUGGUGAGGUAACGGCUCACCAUGGCAAUGAUACGUAGCCGACCUGAGAGGGUAAUCGGCCACAUUGGGACUGAGACACGGCCCAAACUCCUACGGGAGGCAGCAGUAGGGAAUCUUCCACAAUGGACGAAAGUCUGAUGGAGCAACGCCGCGUGAGUGAAGAAGGGUUUCGGCUCGUAAAACUCUGUUGUUAAAGAAGAACAUAUCUGAGAGUAACUGUUCAGGUAUUGACGGUAUUUAACCAGAAAGCCACGGCUAACUACGUGCCAGCAGCCGCGGUAAUACGUAGGUGGCAAGCGUUGUCCGGAUUUAUUGGGCGUAAAGCGAGCGCAGGCGGUUUUUUAAGUCUGAUGUGAAAGCCUUCGGCUCAACCGAAGAAGUGCAUCGGAAACUGGGAAACUUGAGUGCAGAAGAGGACAGUGGAACUCCAUGUGUAGCGGUGAAAUGCGUAGAUAUAUGGAAGAACACCAGUGGCGAAGGCGGCUGUCUGGUCUGUAACUGACGCUGAGGCUCGAAAGUAUGGGUAGCAAACAGGAUUAGAUACCCUGGUAGUCCAUACCGUAAACGAUGAAUGCUAAGUGUUGGAGGGUUUCCGCCCUUCAGUGCUGCAGCUAACGCAUUAAGCAUUCCGCCUGGGGAGUACGGCCGCAAGGCUGAAACUCAAAGGAAUUGACGGGGGCCCGCACAAGCGGUGGAGCAUGUGGUUUAAUUCGAAGCUACGCGAAGAACCUUACCAGGUCUUGACAUACUAUGCAAAUCUAAGAGAUUAGACGUUCCCUUCGGGGACAUGGAUACAGGUGGUGCAUGGUUGUCGUCAGCUCGUGUCGUGAGAUGUUGGGUUAAGUCCCGCAACGAGCGCAACCCUUAUUAUCAGUUGCCAGCAUUAAGUUGGGCACUCUGGUGAGACUGCCGGUGACAAACCGGAGGAAGGUGGGGAUGACGUCAAAUCAUCAUGCCCCUUAUGACCUGGGCUACACACGUGCUACAAUGGAUGGUACAACGAGUUGCGAACUCGCGAGAGUAAGCUAAUCUCUUAAAGCCAUUCUCAGUUCGGAUUGUAGGCUGCAACUCGCCUACAUGAAGUCGGAAUCGCUAGUAAUCGCGGAUCAGCAUGCCGCGGUGAAUACGUUCCCGGGCCUUGUACACACCGCCCGUCACACCAUGAGAGUUUGUAACACCCAAAGUCGGUGGGGUAACCUUUUAGGAACCAGCCGCCUAAGGUG